ACGGUGGUGCAGACGGGUGAGUACGCGUGGAACGUGUCUUUCACUACGGAAUAGCUUUUGGAAACGAAAGGUAAUACCGUAUACGCCCUCCGGGGGAAAGAUUUAUCGGUGAAAGAUCGGUCCGCGUUAGAUUAGCUAGUUGGUGAGGUAACGGCUCACCAAGGCUACGAUCUAUAGCUGGUCUGAGAGGAUGAUCAGCCACACUGGGACUGAGACACGGCCCAGACUCCUACGGGAGGCAGCAGUGGGGAAUAUUGCACAAUGGGCGCAAGCCUGAUGCAGCCAUGCCGCGUGAAUGAUGAAGGCCUUAGGGUUGUAAAAUUCUUUCGCCAGGGAUGAUAAUGACAGUACCUGGUAAAGAAGCCCCGGCUAACUUCGUGCCAGCAGCCGCGGUAAUACGAAGGGGGCUAGCGUUGUUCGGAAUUACUGGGCGUAAAGCGCACGUAGGCGGACUUUUAAGUCAGAUGUGAAAUCCCGAGGCUCAACCUCGGAACUGCAUUUGAAACUGGGAGUCUAGAGAUCAGGAGAGGUUAGCGGAAUACCGAGUGUAGAGGUGAAAUUCGUAGAUAUUCGGUGGAACACCAGUGGCGAAGGCGGCUAACUGGACUGGUACUGACGCUGAGGUGCGAAAGUGUGGGGAGCAAACAGGA
rnacentral:rRNA from 1 species